CCUCACUCUCCAGGUGCCCUUUGCACCCAACAGUGCGUGUGAGGAACGAACUGCUGUUUGAACGUCCCCUGAGAUUGUGCGUAGCCCCGUGUAAAUGUAAUAGCCUCCAUGGCUUAAUUGGCUAUCAAGCGAAUUUUCCCAGAUGAAAGCAAUGUUGGGUUAGGGGACGACGGUGCAGCCACCCAGCCUUUACCAGCAGCGUGCUGCAGACGAAGGCAGUCAAGGUGUGGAGGUGAUCACGCAGGUGCAGCUCAGUUGCCGUGAUGCUCCUUGAGUCAAUGAGCUCUUUGGUCUGCUCUUCUGCUCAAGCAGAAAAGGAUUGGCACUUCACCCUUGAGAAGCUGACAAGAACCACAGGCUUCUUCAGGCAGGUGGUGGAACAUGGGUGUAUCCUGCAGGUGCUCACAGUAUCUCCCUUUGCUCAGGCUCUAGCCUGAUUUUCUGGCUCAUAAGGCCAAAGGGAGCUGGAAAAGUCCCCACGGCAGGACUCAUGGUGGAGAGAGAAUGAUCUAGAGGAUUCAGGCCUCUGCAUACUGUGUCUGGGUCCCUCCUUAAAGAAUGAUAAAGACAAGUAAAGAGCUUGAAGCAGCCUGGAGUCCAGCCAGAAACCUUUAACUGAGCUUUAAAGGAGAUGGUCACAACACUUUUCAGAAUACUGGCAAAGGCCUCCUGUGGCCAGGUUUGUCCUGGGAUGAGCAAAAUUUAAUGUUAACCUGCUGUAUCUUUGCUUUUAAUAUAUCUGCUUGCCCAUCACAAUGAUGUUAUGGUUAAUUUCACCAAUUUGGUAACCUGCCUCUUGGGAAGUACGAAAGUAAGCAAGGGCCAGGUGUGGUGACUCACGCCUGUAAUCCCAGUACUUUGGGUGGCUGAGGCGGGUGGAUUGCUUGAGCCCAGGAGUUCAAGACCAACCUGGGCACCAUGACAAAACCCCGUCUCUACAAAAUAUACAAAAAUUAACCAGGAGUGGCAGUGCAUGGCUGUAAUCCCAGCUACUCGGAGGCUGAGGUGGGAGAAUCUCUUGAGCCUGGGAGGCAGAGGUUGCAGUGAGCUGAGAUCACACCACUGCAUUCCAGCCUGGGCAAUGAAGUGAGACCCUGUCUCAAAAAAAAAAAAAAAAAAAAAGAGAGAGAAAGACAGUGAGGGUGUCCUGUGAAUCAAAUCUUUGAAUGGAUGUUUUCUUAACUAACCAAGACCUCUGUAAGAAUUCUGUCUUUGAUUCCACAAUAAAGUGGUGUGAAAUUACUAUAAGCAAAUGUUUACAUGUCUCAUUUAAUCUUCACAACAAUCCUAUGAGGCAAGUAGAAUUGUUAUCCUCAUUUUCUGAGCGAUGAAACUGAGGCUCAGGGGAGGGUGUGACCUUGCCAAGUCCCCACAACUGGAAACCACGGAACAAAAUGACCUGAGUCACACAUGCUAGAAAAAACUCAUUGUGCCUCCCCAUGGAGAUUCACAAUGGCUAUUUCUGUUGCAAUAGAGGAUGAAGCAGGUGGUCUUUCCAAUCAACAGCUGUUAAGAAAGGCUCCAGUUCUCCCC
rnacentral:lncRNA from 1 species